CUACUUGUGAGGUGCGAUUAGGAUUAAGAAAAUGUAAACGGGAUUAUUAUUGACUUUUUUUGUUUAGUUUAUAUUUUUAUUAUUAUUAUUCCCUCUUGUUAACCUGAAAGAGGAUGGGGAAACGUGACUAUGGACCACCAGCAGGAUCUCUAGAGGAGUCUUCAUGGGGACCAAAUUUGAGCAGUGUAGAGCUGCUUGGACCAGAUGGACUUAUCACUCUAAUACUGAACCUUCCUAUAGUUCUGAGGCAAAAGCAUACAGGCAAAUCAACAACAAAAACUCUUUUUAAAGGUCAGCUGUGUUGCAUCCUGUACAAGCAACAUGGUGUGCUUCUAGCCACUUGUCAAAAUGCCUGGCAAGAAAGACGCUAAAAAGGACACAAAGAAAGGUGGUAAAGCUGAAYCAGAAAAAAAGAAAGAGGAGGAAAAGAAAGGGAA